rnacentral:rRNA from 1 species
AGAGUUUGAUUCUGGCUCAGAACGAACGCUGGCGGCGUGGAUAAGACAUGCAAGUCGAACGAGAGAAUUGCUAGCUUGCUAAUAAUUCUCUAGUGGCGCACGGGUGAGUAACACGUGAGUAACCUGCCCCCGAGAGCGGGAUAGCCCUGGGAAACUGGGAUUAAUACCGCAUAGUAUCGAAAGAUUAAAGCAGCAAUGCGCUUGGGGAUGGGCUCGCGGCCUAUUAGUUAGUUGGUGAGGUAACGGCUCACCAAGGCGAUGACGGGUAGCCGGUCUGAGAGGAUGUCCGGCCACACUGGAACUGAGACACGGUCCAGACACCUACGGGUGGCAGCAGUCGAGAAUCAUUCACAAUGGGGGAAACCCUGAUGGUGCGACGCCGCGUGGGGGAAUGAAGGUCUUCGGAUUGUAAACCCCUGUCAUGUGGGAGCAAAUUAAAAAGAUAGUACCACAAGAGGAAGAGACGGCUAACUCUGUGCCAGCAGCCGCGGUAAUACAGAGGUCUCAAGCGUUGUUCGGAAUCACUGGGCGUAAAGCGUGCGUAGGCUGUUUCGUAAGUCGUGUGUGAAAGGCGCGGGCUCAACCCGCGGACGGCACAUGAUACUGCGAGACUAGAGUAAUGGAGGGGGAACCGGAAUUCUCGGUGUAGCAGUGAAAUGCGUAGAUAUCGAGAGGAACACUCGUGGCGAAGGCGGGUUCCUGGACAUUAACUGACGCUGAGGCACGAAGGCCAGGGGAGCGAAAGGGAUUAGAUACCCCUGUAGUCCUGGCAGUAAACGGUGCACGCUUGGUGUGCGGGGAAUCGACCCCCUGCGUGCCGGAGCUAACGCGUUAAGCGUGCCGCCUGGGGAGUACGGUCGCAAGAUUAAAACUCAAAGAAAUUGACGGGGACCCGCACAAGCGGUGGAGUAUGUGGCUUAAUUCGAUGCAACGCGAAGAACCUUACCUGGGCUUGACAUGUAAUGAACAACAUGUGAAAGCAUGCGACUCUUCGGAGGCGUUACACAGGUGCUGCAUGGCCGUCGUCAGCUCGUGUCGUGAGAUGUUUGGUUAAGUCCAGCAACGAGCGCAACCCCUGUUGCCAGUUACCAGCACGUGAAGGUGGGGACUCUGGCGAGACUGCCCAGAUCAACUGGGAGGAAGGUGGGGACGACGUCAGGUCAGUAUGGCCCUUAUGCCCAGGGCUGCACACGUACUACAAUGCCCAGUACAGAGGGGGCCGAAGCCGCGAGGCGGAGGAAAUCCUAAAAACUGGGCCCAGUUCGGACUGUAGGCUGCAACCCGCCUACACGAAGCCGGAAUCGCUAGUAAUGGCGCAUCAGCUACGGCGCCGUGAAUACGUUCCCGGGUCUUGUACACACCGCCCGUCACAUCAUGGAAGCCGGUCGCACCCGAAGUAUCUGAAGCCAACCGCAAGGAGGCAGGGUCCUAAGGUGAGACUGGUAACUGGGGUGAAGUCGUAACAAGGUAGCCGUAGGGGAACCUGCGGC